UUGGAGGGCAAGUCUGGUGCCAGCAGCCGCGGUAAUUCCAGCUCCAAUAGCGUAUAUUAAAGUUGUUGCAGUUAAAAAGCUCGUAGUUGAAUUUCAGGCCUGGCUGGACGGUCCGCCCUUCGGGUGAGUACUGUCUGUGGUCGGGUCCUACCUUCUGGCGAAGCGUCAUGGCCUUAACCGGCCGUGGCGGGGAACCAGGACUUUUACUGUGAAAAAAUUAGAGUGUUCAAAGCAGGCAAUCGCUUGGAUACAUUAGCAUGGAAUAAUGGAAUAGGACAAUGGUUCUAUUUGUUGGUUUCUAGGACCGUUGUAAUGAUUAAUAGGGAUAGUUGGGGGCAUUAGUAUUCAAUUGUCAGAGGUGAAAUUCUUGGAUUUAUUGAAGACUAACUACUGCGAAAGCAUUUGCCAAGGAUGUUUUCAUUAAUCAAGAACGAAAGUUAGGGGAUCGAAGACGAUCAGAUACCGUCGUAGUCUUAACCAUAAACUAUGCCGACUAGGGAUCGGAUGAUGUUAAUUUUUUAAUGACUCAUUCGGCACCCUAUGGGAAACCAAAG
rnacentral:rRNA from 1 species